rnacentral:rRNA from 1 species
AGCAGCCGCGGUAAUUCCAGCUCCAAUAGCGUAUAUUAAAGUUGUUGCAGUUAAAAAGCUCGUAGUUGAAUUUCGGGAUCAAGGAAUCGGUCAUGCCUUGGUAUGUACUGGUUUUAUUGGUUCUCACCUUCUAAAGAACCAUAAUGUCAUUCAUUUGAUGUUAUGGGGGAAUUUAGGACUGUUACUUUGAAAAAAUUAGAGUGUUUAAAGCAGGCGCACGCUUGAAUACAUUAGCAUGGAAUAAUGAAAUAGGAUGUUUGAUUCUAUUUUGUUGGUUUCUAGGAUUGACGUAAUGAUUAAUAGGGAUAGUUGGGGGCAUUAGUAUUCAAUUGUCAGAGGUGAAAUUCUUGGAUUUAUUGAAGACUGACUACUGCGAAAGCAUUUGCCAAGGAUGUUUUCAUUAAUCAAGAACGAAAGUUAGGGGAUCGAAGACGAUCAGAUACCGUCGUAGUCUUAACCAUAAACUAUGCGACUAGGGAUCGGAUGAUGUUAAUUUUUAAUGUACUCAUUCGCCGG